CGGCUUUUUAAGUCGGAUGUGAAAUCCCUGAGCUUAACUUAGGAAUUGCAUUCGAUACUGGGAAGCUAGAGUAUGGGAGAGGAUGGUAGAAUUCCAGGUGUAGCGGUGAAAUGCGUAGAGAUCUGGAGGAAUACCGAUGGCGAAGGCAGCCAUCUGGCCUAAUACUGACGCUGAGGUACGAAAGCAUGGGGAGCAAACAGGAUUAGAUACCCUGGUAGUCCAUGCCGUAAACGAUGUCUACUAGCCGUUGGGGCCUUUGAGGCUUUAGUGGCGCAGCUAACGCGAUAAGUAGACCGCCUGGGGAGUACGGUCGCAAGACUAAAACUCAAAUGAAUUGACGGGGGCCCGCACAAGCGGUGGAGCAUGUGGUUUAAUUCGAUGCAACGCGAAGAACCUUACCUGGUCUUGACAUAGUAAGAACUUUCCAGAGAUGGAUUGGUGCCUUCGGGAACUUACAUACAGGUGCUGCAUGGCUGUCGUCAGCUCGUGUCGUGAGAUGUUGGGUUAAGUCCCGCAACGAGCGCAACCCUUUUCCUUAUUUGCCAGCGGGUUAAGCCGGGAACUUUAAGGAUACUGCCAGUGACAAACUGGAGGAAGGCGGGGACGACGUCAAGUCAUCAUGGCCCUUACGACCAGGGCUACACACGUGCUACAAUGGUCGGUACAAAGGGUUGCUACUCCGCGAGGAGAUGCUA
rnacentral:rRNA from 1 species